AGUCGAGCGGACAGAUGGGAGCUUGCUCCCUGAUGUUAGCGGCGGACGGGUGAGUAACACGUGGGUAACCUGCCUGUAAGACUGGGAUAACUCCGGGAAACCGGGGCUAAUACCGGAUGGUUGUUUGAACCGCAUGGUUCAAACAUAAAAGGUGGCUUCGGCUACCACUUACAGAUGGACCCGCGGCGCAUUAGCUAGUUGGUGAGGUAAUGGCUCACCAAGGCAACGAUGCGUAGCCGACCUGAGAGGGUGAUCGGCCACACUGGGACUGAGACACGGCCCAGACUCCUACGGGAGGCAGCAGUAGGGAAUCUUCCGCAAUGGACGAAAGUCUGACGGAGCAACGCCGCGUGAGUGAUGAAGGUUUUCGGAUCGUAAAGCUCUGUUGUUAGGGAAGAACAAGUACCGUUCGAAUAGGGCGGUACCUUGACGGUACCUAACCAGAAAGCCACGGCUAACUACGUGCCAGCAGCCGCGGUAAUACGUAGGUGGCAAGCGUUGUCCGGAAUUAUUGGGCGUAAAGGGCUCGCAGGCGGUUUCUUAAGUCUGAUGUGAAAGCCCCCGGCUCAACCGGGGAGGGUCAUUGGAAACUGGGGAACUUGAGUGCAGAAGAGGAGAGUGGAAUUCCACGUGUAGCGGUGAAAUGCGUAGAGAUGUGGAGGAACACCAGUGGCGAAGGCGACUCUCUGGUCUGUAACUGACGCUGAGGAGCGAAA
rnacentral:rRNA from 1 species